rnacentral:rRNA from 1 species
AUUAGUCAAUGCUCGCAAGAGUGAACUAGCUAACUGGAAUCAUGAGUGUGUCACUUGUGAUAAGGUAAAGGAAAAAUUAUGAUGUCACUUUACUAGUAGUGUUGUCCAAAGCUGGUGCCAGAAGACUCGGUAAUGCCAGAGACGCAAGCGUUAAUCAUCCUAAUCAGGCGUAAAGGGUUUGUAGGCAGCUUUAAAAUAAUUAAAGAUAGAAUCAUAUAGAGGUCACUUUGAGAGAAUUCUUAGAGUAGGGUUGAUAUCUGUAGAUACUAAGAGGAAUACUAAUUAGCGAAGGCACUUUUCCAAAUUAUGAUUGACGCUGAGAAACGAAGGGGAGGAUAGAAAAUAGGAUUGGAUACCCUGGUAUCCCUCUCUGUCAACGAUGAAUGGUAGUUGCUAGUAUAAGUUUAUUAGUGGCGAUGCUAACGCGUUAACCAUUCCGCCUUGUGAGUACGACUGCAAAGUUGAAAACAAAAAAAUUAGUCGGUUUCGGAGCAAACGAAGUGAAGCAUGUUAUUUAAUUC